CGUGGCUUGGGUCUUGCCAGCUGGCGUGAUUUCCCUGCAAAUUUGUGGGGUGCCAGAUCUAUGGCUUUUCCUCAAUGUGCCGGAUGCACCCACUUCUGGGCUGAUCGCUUAGAUGAGGGGGUGACGGCGGAGUCGUGGCUCAGUCUUAUGCUCGCGCUUCGUUGUCUAACCUUCAUUGAUGGCUGAGGCUUACAAGGUGGUUAUGUGUCUGAUGCAUAUUUUGUUGCACCUCGGUGCUUCAAUUCCUGACCUCGGAUCAGACGUGAAUACCCGCUGAACUUAAGCAUAUCACUAAGCGGAGGAAA
rnacentral:rRNA from 1 species